AGUCGCGCCCUCGUGGCCAUUUGAAUCACUUUUAUGGGGCAUUUCUGCCGGGUUUCCUCUGGCCAGUCAUCUCGCUCUGCCUGCCUCUGUGUCCGUAUUUGUUUAUCUCAGGGUCCUGGCCUGUGCGUGCGCAUCUCUUAGCUGAGGUGGAUCCCACCGCAGAGGCCUAUGGGGAGUUGCCAUCACCUACUGCGGGGCGGUGCCCCUCCCUUUUUGACCUCCAAGGAGCUUCCUAGCCGGGAAUGUCUCCUUGACUUCGAGAAUGAGGAGUAUGUGGUCUCUUAUCUUCUGUGGAGCAGGGCCCAGCCUCCUCUCUCGACUGUCCUGCUGAUCUCGUCUUGGAGUAUUGGUCCACAGGGAAUGAAUCUCCAGUUGCUUACCCUGGGGCGGCCCGUGGUCAGACCUGGCUCCAAGCGAGACUGAAGAACAUGUUCAAGGUCUCACCGAAGGGCCCCAGCUCGCGGCAGAUCUCUUUUCUCCCUGCGCUCUUCUCUCUGCCGCUCACCUUCUCGGUCUCUCUCUUUCACGAGCGGAUUCCCUCCUUGCUCUCCCUGGUCGUCUGAAGAUGGCUCCUGACAGCAGGCACGGCCCUGCAGCUCAGAGCUCUAAGAGGGCAAGUCCCCUCUGCAGCCCCGACCCUACAGGAGGGGUGAGGGAGGGCAGGGACGCGGGGGGCGUGCCUUAGGAAACAGGCUCUCUCUUCCACCCCCUCCUUUACUCUCCUUCCGUGCUUCUCCCCAUUUAGCCGCUGUGCCCCGGCCCUCUGGAAAGACAGGCAGAUAUACAGAGCAGAAAGCAGAAUAAAAGCAGUCGCUUCCUCCCAGACCGUUAGGGGAAGAGAGUCACUGGGAGCAGACAAAAGAUCUGGGAGGAAACCACCAGGGAGUGGGAGCUGAUUCCCUGCGGAGGAACUGGAGCGGAGCUGUCCUUUCAGAAAACCAGGUGCCCCUGUGAAGUGAUGGAGCCGCAGGCGGAUUCCCAGGAAUCCAGAGAUUCCCCAUAUAAGCAAUAUCAUACGCUAUUUGUCUACCCCUACGCUGUUGCAUGAUUUAAAUAUCUUAUUCAAAGAGUGCCCGUUGAUCAGCCGUGUGCUGGUCAGGCCUACCACCAGGCUCGGUUUCCAGUUUCUAUGACGUGGCUUCUCUCCUGGCCUGGGGGCAUGACUGAGCCUGGUGCUUCUGAGCCCAGGGCUGGAAACGAGGCAGGUCCAGGGGAGAAGCUGGGGGUCAGAAGUGACUGCCCUGCGGCCGAGGGGCUGGGCGGCCCAACAGGCAGGCGCCCCGACCGAUGGUGCGGAGCAAAAACAUGCUGUCCCCGCGGUGAGGCCUGUCCUAGUGUCGACGGAGCAUCCAGGUCCCAGACGCGCGGAUGCAUCCACGAACGAAACAGGGACGGUGGUAACAAACUCUGCCCCACGAAGCACCAUACCCAGACCCAAAGGCAUCGCCGCAGUUUCAUGGUUCAGCACGUGGUUCAGCACCCCGGCAUCCGUGGUGAAGACUAUUUCAUCGCCCUCCACAGAAGGCGUAUUUGUGUGUGCAUAUGCUUGAGAGAAAUUUACUGCAAAGAUACGGGUACGAGGCCAGCUGGCAGCACUUUCCAAGCCAGGAGCCUCUUUGAGCAAUCUGCCCUAGAGUUCUUGUUUGCAAUGCUCAAAACCCAGCCGGGUAAGGAAUACACAAGCGCAAAAUUGCACUUACCCCGGAGCCCCUCACCCAGCAAAGGAAGGGAGGGCCUGGCCUUGGAAGGAGGAAUGGAAUGGUGACUUUGCAGGGAAAUUUAAGGGUCUUGGGCAGUUCAUUUUGUCCAGAGCAUACAUUUCACGUUCUGAAGUGAAAGACAGAAAUGCAGUUAUUCACAAGGACCUGCUGUAUAGCAUGGGGAACUAUACCCAAUAUUUUGUAAUAACCUAUAAGGGAAAAGAAUCUGAAAAAGAAUAUA